rnacentral:rRNA from 1 species
UACGUAGGGGGCAAGCGUUGUCCGGAAUCAUUGGGCGUAAAGCGCGUGUAGGCGGCUUGGCAAGUUGGAUGUGAAAGCCCACGGCUCAACCGUGGAAGCGCAUCCAAAACUGCUUCGCUCGAGUCUCGGAGAGGAAGGUGGAAUGCUUGGUGUAGAGGUGAAAUUCGUAGAUAUCAAGCAGAACACCUGCGGCGAAGGCGGCCUUCUGGACGAUGACUGACGCUGAGACGCGAAAGCGUGGGGAGCAAACAGG